rnacentral:rRNA from 1 species
UGGGGAAUUUUGGACAAUGGGCGCAAGCCUGAUCCAGCAAUGCCGCGUGCAGGAUGAAGGCCUUCGGGUUGUAAACUGCUUUUGUCAGGGAAGAAACGAGUUUCUCUAAUACAGAGACUUAAUGACGGUACCUGAAGAAUAAGCACCGGCUAACUACGUGCCAGCAGCCGCGGUAAUACGUAGGGUGCGAGCGUUAAUCGGAAUUACUGGGCGUAAAGCGUGCGCAGGCGGUUAUAUAAGACAGAUGUGAAAUCCCCGGGCUCAACCUGGGACCUGCAUUUGUGACUGUAUAGCUAGAGUACGGUAGAGGGGGAUGGAAUUCCGCGUGUAGCAGUGAAAUGCGUAGAUAUGCGGAGGAACACCGAUGGCGAAGGCAAUCCCCUGGACCUGUACUGACGCUCAUGCACGAAGGCGUGGGGAGCAAACA